rnacentral:lncRNA from 1 species
CAAUACUGCUCCAAUAACCAUCCCUUUAGAAGCCUCUGUCUUUACCCUCUCAUCCACAAGAAACACUGUCUUAACUGCUACCCUAUUUCUACCUUCCUUCCUCUGAAGGAACUGUGAGCUUAUACUGAUGGGUCAAUCAAUUUCCUUCCUUAGAUCAGAGCUGGGAUCUCUGAAGUGUAUACCAAACUGAGCUUCAUGCAGAGUCGUAAAACUGGAUCUGCCACUGUCAUUCCCCUGUAACAGAAAUGAGAAAAAUGGUAAUAAGUGUAAAUUUUUGUGGCUGUCAGGUCUAGUUUUCUGGGGGAAAAGGAACACCUUAUAAUGCAACCACUUAAAGUUUUGUAUGAAAUAAUUAAGAAGUGUGAGUGUUACCUUUUGAAUUUUGCUACACAUAUAUGGCAUGUUGCUAAAAUGCUUUCUUUUUGUUUGCUGGACUGGGUAUCACAGCACUAGACUGAGGGGGAAAGCAGCAUUGACCCACUUUGACUUAGGAUGGCCGAUUUCGCUUAUUAAGGCUGUACUUUGCUUUUAUUUUGCUCUAAGCACAUACCUGGGGCGUACCUCCUGAUAGCAAACACAAUGUUUUUACAUUCAGAGACUGGUGGGGUAGGAUUUUUGCAGUCCAUGUACAGGCUGUAAGAGUUUUAGAAUGAGAAGUAAAUAACAUGAUACUGAAAUUCUUGAGAGGUUUAUAGUUUAAAACUAAAAAUAAAGCAGGAGUGUCAUGUCUGUAUAAGGGAUAGUAAAUUCUUCUUGUAUUUUUUUGAAAAACGUAUUUCUGAUAAGAACAAAGAAUUAUCCCUGAAAGGUAUACCAUUUUUUCCCCUCUUUUAGAAUGUAGGUUAUGAGAAAAACAUUACAUGGCUUUUAUUAUACAGGAAAUGUACUUGAAGUGCAGAAUGCUUGGGAACGGAUGCCUGCUUUACUGCUAUGAAUUGUUCAUGAUACGUCUUUUCUUAUAUGCAUCAAACAUAGCGCUUGCUGCAGAGAUGCAUGUGAUUUGUCUCCUCUCCUGAGAAAUGGUAAUUGGCUUCAGUUUACUUAGGCUACUGCAGCACAAUUUAUUUUCGUAGCUUAGCUGAGGCUCAUAUUGCAGCAUAUUUUCUUCUAUGAGGGUGAAGUAUUUAAUUUGUAAAGUGAUGGAGAGUGUGCAUUGCAUUACAAAGACAGAACGUAUCUCUGCUCUGUGGCGUUUAGUGGGAACAGAUCAAAGUACUUGACCAUUCUCCUUAUCUUUUCUUGUUAAAUUGUACAUGAACUAAUCAUGGUCUUUUAGAAAACAUCCAUUACAAUCAACUUAGUAAUCUGACUAAUGAACUGUGGUUACUAUUUGCUUUGUCUGUUUAUGAUAAAUUAUUUCUGUGGCUUUCUGCCUUGGUCACAUGGUGUUAUUUCUGUUUUCUAAGUGGAUAACCAAACAUUCUUCAAACAGGCAGCAAAUAGCAAACAAUGAAAACGUAUUUUAAUUAUGGAUUUUUUUCCUGUUAGUUAAGUGAUUUUUUUUCUUCCUGCUAGUAUUUCCUUACAGUUUUUGAAAGGUAUCUCCCUAGAAGAACUAAAGAGAUGAACAUAAUAUAUGCAACAAAUGGCACUUUGAAGAGAGCCAAGGACUUCAGUUGAAAUAUAUUCACACAAUUGUAAUGAUUUAUAUAGUGAUAAUAAUGGCAUAACAUAGCAUGCCAGAGAUAAGCCCUAUGAGCAAGGGCUUUAUUGAUUUUUAUUACUGUCCAACAUAAUUUUACCUUCUGAAUGAUUGCUUAAUAUACAUAUCUUAAACAAAUACAAUACUGUAUGCAACUCAUAAUGAAUUCUAGGAAGUACUGAGUAUUCACAGCUUCCCUUAGUUAAUUUCACAAUACUUUUUUUGCCACUGCACCCUUAGCUUUCAUCCUUUGAUAAUACUUCAGUGCUGAAUUAGCUUCAGUUAAUUCUGCAAGCUCAUUACUCUUUUAUGACAGUGCACAUGUUAGUACUGCUGCAUUAGCUUGUGUGAGGCACUAAGACUUCUGGGAACGCUAACUUGGGAACAGCAAUAAGCUGUGCUGUCCUAUGAAUUAAUUUGCAUUGUACUGAAUAAAGAUAUGUCUCCUUUCUGGGCAUCCAUGUGGAAAUUUUUUAAUCUAAAAACUCAUUAAAGAAAAGAGCAAGUAAUCAGCAUACACUACAGGAAUGACCAGGCUCUACUGUCAGUAC